UUUUUCCACCGGAGCUUGCUCCACCGGAAAAAGAAGAGUGGCGAACGGGUGAGUAACACGUGGGUAACCUGCCCAUCAGAAGGGGAUAACACUUGGAAACAGGUGCUAAUACCGUAUAACAAUCAAAACCGCAUGGUUUUGAUUUGAAAGGCGCUUUCGGGUGUCGCUGACGGAUGGACCCGCGGUGCAUUAGCUAGUUGGUGAGGUUACGGCUCACCAAGGCCACGAUGCAUAGCCGACCUGAGAGGGUGAUCGGCCACAUUGGGACUGAGACACGGCCCAAACUCCUACGGGAGGCAGCAGUAGGGAAUCUUCGGCAAUGGACGAAAGUCUGACCGAGCAACGCCGCGUGAGUGAAGAAGGUUUUCGGAUCGUAAAACUCUGUUGUUAGAGAAGAACAAGGAUGAGAGUAACUGUUCAUCCCUUGACGGUAUCUAACCAGAAAGCCACGGCUAACUACGUGCCAGCAGCCGCGGUAAUACGUAGGUGGCAAGCGUUGUCCGGAUUUAUUGGGCGUAAAGCGAGCGCAGGCGGUUUCUUAAGUCUGAUGUGAAAGCCCCCGGCUCAACCGGGGAGGGUCAUUGGAAACUGGGAGACUUGAGUGCAGAAGAGGAGAGUGGAAUUCCAUGUGUAGCGGUGAAAUGCGUAGAUAUAUGGAGGAACACCAGUGGCGAAG
rnacentral:rRNA from 1 species